UUGUUAUAGUUAAAUUUGUUUGAAAUUGUUUUGUAGUAACGAUCAAUUAGCCAUGAUGAAAGAGAAGGAUAAAGGAGUGAAGAUAAAUGAUGAUUUGAGGAAAAAAUUGGGCAAGAAGUGGAAUGCACUUUCAAAAGUAGAAAAAGAAAAUUUCAUGGCAAAGUCCAAAGAAAGUUCAAAACAAUAUUCACUUCAAAAGGGUGUGGUUCCAAAGUUAUAUCUUCAGACUCGAUGCUCCCCCGAGCGAGUGAUUAGAGUGAUUGAAAAAUUAGAACCAAAGCAAAAGGCAACCAUAGAAGA